ACCAGUGCGGGUGCAGAGGGCUCCGGUCAGGCUCUCGCCUCCCCCGGCUCCUGCCUGGAGGAGUUCCGCAGCUCCCCUUUCAUCGAGUGCCACGGCAGAGGGACAUGUAACUUCUAUGCCAACUCCUACAGCUUCUGGCUGGCCACCGUGGAAACUUCUGAGAUGUUCAGAAAGCCCCAGUCUGAGACCUAUAAGGCAGGUAGCCUACGGACACGUGUGAGCCGCUGUGCAGUCUGCAUGAAGCGCACGUAACGGCAUGCAUGCCACCAAGCAAACACACCACUGCCAGGAGGUGGAGAGACGCCCAUCGAUGACGAGAGACGAUUGGACGUACAGUGGACAAGUGUGGCAGCGGGUGGGGGCAGUCACGAUGAGUUGGAAUUCCAAUGGUGCAUUGUCUUCCGGAAAAACAAACUACAACUAAAACAAUGGUGCUACUGUGCAACACAGCUUAAAAAAAAAGAAAAAGAAAAAAAAAAGAAAAAAAACUGACGUAAACAAAUCUUACAUUUAGUCUUUGUUUGUCUUAAGAAGUACCUCAAAAUGAAAGCAGAAUAUAUUCAAUUCAUGGUGCCACGAUGGAUGUGUGACAACAAAACUGCAUUUUUCUUUCUUUUCCCUUCUUUCCCAGAAGGAUCUUUGUUCCCUUUCCCUCUUUUUCCCCCAAAAAUUACGUUUGACACGUUGGUGCAGCAAAAAUGUGACAGAGUAACUUUUUAUUUUAUUUUAUUUUUGAUAAGGAGUUGAUGAUUUUCACAGUUACCAAAUCGGCACUUUGACUUCGGAACAUCCAUGAUGACAGAUGCACUGACGAUGAGCUUUCUGUAGUGAGAAUGACUGCUUUUUUAAAAAAAAUUUACCAACCUUUCAUUCGCACACCCUUUCUUUCUCGCUCUUAUUUUUUCUGUUUUACGUUACAUUUCGUAGUAAUAACCCUGCUGUCUCCCACUCUUUGCUAACCAUAUCGCCUUCUUUUGCUUAUUUUUUUGUUUUUGUAAGUAAUGCAAUGUGUAUAUUGUGUAAAACACUUUUGUUUUUAGUGUAUUAGCUUGAAUCACUACCAGCUGUUUGUUAUGCACGGCGAUUUUCCAGGUUCUUCUUAGCUCACACAUUCACUUAACGCACGUUGACUCAGAUAUUGUACAAAGUAAGGCUUUUAUGAAUGAAACAGUAUUUUAUAUAUAAUAAAUAUAUAUUUGAAAAAAGAGGAUUAAAAAGUAUAUAAACUUUAUUCGGCUGUGGAGAGCUUGUUUGUUGUUUUUAACCACGAAACGGUCAUACAUUACAUUUCAUGAAAAAAUAAAGCUUACUACUGAACGCAAACAGCCAUUUUCAUGAAACUAUAACAGUCUUAUGUGAUAUUAACAAUGCCAAUGCUUCAACCGUUUGUAUUGUUCCACUGAAAUAAAGGGGAUUUGCUUUUAGCUAGUUGAACGAUUGGAAAUUGUUACGAAUAUCAACGCGUGAAACGGAGAAAAUAAAGUUCAAAUAAAUUCUUCAUUAUUUGAUUAGAAAACAGGGACAUUUUUUGUGUUUCUUACAUUUCCAGGUGCUCGGAAUUUUCUAUAAAAAGAUCCUGAUGUAGUUUGAAGGGGCUGCCUUUGUUCCCAACACUUUCAAAUCCACUUUUACUGGCUUGAAUUUCUAUCCCAAAUUGGAUAAAGUGUUCAGGCUUCCUGGUGUGGUAACACAGGUCUGAGCGUACAGAUUCCUGAUGUACUGUAAAUCUAUGCGAGCUGUUUGGGGUAGGGUAGGGUGGGUAGGGUGAAAUAUUUCCCUGUGAUUUUUAUUGUUUGUUUGUUUUGUGUGUGUGUUUUUUUUUUCAAAUCUGCUUUUAUGAAUUCUAAUUGUGUCAGCCUGGGGUGCGAUUAAAAAAAAUGUGCAUUUUUUUUUUCUUUUUGUUGUUUUGUUUCCAUUUUAUGUUAUCCGGAAGUUGUUAUAAACUUUUAAGACUGAAAUAAAUACUAUGUCCAAA